GACGAACGCUGGCGGCGUGCCUAAUACAUGCAAGUAGAACGCUGAAGGAGGAGCUUGCUUCUCUGGAUGAGUUGCGAACGGGUGAGUAACGCGUAGGUAACCUGCCUGGUAGCGGGGGAUAACUAUUGGAAACGAUAGCUAAUACCGCAUAAGAGUAGAUGUUGCAUGACAUUUGCUUAAAAGGUGCAAUUGCAUCACUACCAGAUGGACCUGCGUUGUAUUAGCUAGUUGGUGGGGUAACGGCUCACCAAGGCGACGAUAAAUAGCCGACCUGAGAGGGUGAUCGGCCACAGUGGGACUGAGACACGGCCCAGACUCCUACGGGAGGCAGCAGUAGGGAAUCUUCGGCAAUGGACGGAAGUCUGACCGAGCAACGCCGCGUGAGUGAAGAAGGUUUUCGGAUCGUAAAGAUCUGUUGUAAGAGAAGAGCGAGUGUGAGAGUGGAAAGUUCACACUGUGACGGUAUCUUACCAGAAAGGGACGGCUAACUACGUG
rnacentral:rRNA from 1 species